CCUUAAACUCAUGCCAUCGUUUACAGCUAACUUGUAUAGAACAUUAACACCAGCAAAUGCUAUUUGCACCAUAACCAUUAACAACGUUGGCUUCAAACCUUGCACUACAUUACACAAAUUGUUCUUCAUCAUCAUCACCACGAGUGUGUGUGUGUAUAUAUUUACGUUGAAAUUUCACUUAAUUAAGAGAGUGAAUAUUAAGUGACACAUGCAUGAGAUGAAAUGAAACAAAGAAGGGUGUGUCUGUAUUUAUAGUGAAUGAAGAAGAUUCCAAAGGUGAAUUAAAGCGGCAGUGUUUGUUUGUUUGGUUACUUACACGUCAUCAUCUACGUUGUUACUAUAGAAAAACUUACACGUUUUAGCUUCUUAUUUGACACGUGCGAAAUUGGUCUUCGUGGGCCUCAAUAAUAAGGGUUUGCCUCUACUGCAUGCUGCUAUGCAUGAAACUCAGUGAGAUAUUAACUUGAUUACUCUAUUUGUAACUUCUCCAUUUCCACCUCUUCAAUAACUCCACCAUAUAUAUUAAUUCAUGCUCUCUGCGCGAGGACUGAUUUCAUUUUCCAUGAUAAUCAACUUGUAGUAGUAUUGCAAUCUAUGAAGCAC
rnacentral:lncRNA from 1 species